GGCCCCGAGCCGGUCCCCGGCCACCUCUAAGCUAUUGAUUAAUAGAUAGGUGGAAGGGCCCUCCUAAGGGGAAGGUCGCCCGUUCGAAUCGGGCCGGGGUCACCA
rnacentral:tRNA from 1 species